rnacentral:ncRNA from 2 species
AACUUAUCUAGAGAGGUGGAGGGACUGGCCCAAUGAAGCCCGGCAACCAUAUAUUAUUUAAAAUAAUAUAAAGGUGCCAACUCCUGCAGCAUUUAAACUGAGAGAUAAGGA